rnacentral:rRNA from 1 species
UGGGGAAUAUUGGACAAUGGGGGCAACCCUGAUCCAGCGACGCCGCGUGUGUGAAGAAGGCCUGCGGGUUGUAAAGCACUUUUAGUGGGGAUGAAAAGCUCAGGGCUAAUACCUCUGGGUCUUGACCUAACCCACAGAAAAAGCACCGGCUAACUCUGUGCCAGCAGCCGCGGUAAUACAGAGGGUGCAAGCGUUAAUCGGAAUUACUGGGCGUAAAGCGUGCGUAGACGGUUAUUUAAGUCGGGUGUGAAAGCCCCGGGCUCAACCUGGGAAUUGCAUUCGAGACUGAAUAGCUAGGGUACGGAAGAGGGAAGCGGAAUUUCCGGUGUAGCGGUGAAAUGCGUAGAUAUCGGAAGGAACACCAGUGGCGAAAGCGGCUUCCUGGUCCAGUACCGACGUUCAGGCACGAAAGCGUGGGGAGCAAACAGGAUUAGAUACCCUGGUAGUCCACGCUAUAAACGAUGAGAACUAGACGUUGAGAGGGUAAGCCUCCCAGUGUCGCAGCUAACGCGAUAAGUUCUCCGCCUGGGGA